rnacentral:rRNA from 1 species
UACGGGGGGGGCAAGCGUUGUUCGGAAUUACUGGGCGUAAAGGGCUCGUAGGCGGCCAACUAAGUCAGACGUGAAAUCCCUCGGCUUAACCGGGGAACUGCGUCUGAUACUGGAUGGCUUGAGGUUGGGAGAGGGAUGCGGAAUUCCAGGUGUAGCGGUGAAAUGCGUAGACAUCUGGAGGAACACCGGUGGCGAAGGCGGCAUCCUGGACCAAUUCUGACGCUGAGUGAGCGAAAGCCAGGGGAGCAAACGGG